rnacentral:rRNA from 1 species
GGAUGCCGAUCAUACCAGCACUAAAGCACCGGAUCCCAUCAGAACUCCGAAGAUAAGCGUGCUUGGGCGAGAGUAGUACUAGGAUAGGUGACCUCCUGGGAAGUCCUCGUGUUGCAUUCC